rnacentral:rRNA from 1 species
GAUCCGGGGAUGUCCGAAUGGGGAAACCUAGCACCAGUCAUGUGGUGUUGCCGCCGUCUGAAUGUAUAGGGCGGUUGGUGGUAACGCGGGGAAGUGAAACAUCUCAGUACCCGUAGGAGAAGAAAACAAUAGUGAUUCCGUGAGUAGUGGUGAGCGAAAGCGGAGGAGGCUAAACCGUGCGCGUGUGAUAGCCGGCGGGCGUUGCGUGUGCGGGGUUGUGGGAGCCUUCUGGAUGGUCCGCCGAUCGUCCGGGGAGUGAGAAAUCCGUCUGAUAGUCGAACGCUCUGGGAAGGGCGGCCGUAGACCGUGAUAGCCGGGUAGGCGAAAUCGGAUGGACUCCCGAGGGUUGUCCCGAGUAGCACGGGGCUCGAGGAAUCCUGUGUGAAUCUGCCAGGACCACCUGGUAAGCCUAAAUACUUCCUGGUGACCGAUAGUGGACGAGUACCGUGAGGGAAAGGUGAAAAGCGCCCCGGUGAGGGGUUGUGAAAUAGUACCUGAAACCGUGUGCCUACAAGCCGUAGGAGCGUAAACAGGUUCGCCUGUUUGUGAUGUGACUGCGUGCCUUUUGAAGAAUGAGCCUGCGAGUUAUGGUGUGUGGCGAGGUUAACCCGUGUGGGGGAGCCGUAGCGAAAGCGAGUCUGAAUAGGGCGUUGAGUCGCAUGCUGUAGACCCGAAGCGGGGUGAUCUACGCAUGGGCAGGUUGAAGCGUGGGUAAGACUGCGUGGAGGACCGAACCCACCAGGGUUGAAAACCUGGGGGAUGACCUGUGUGUAGGGGUGAAAGGCCAAUCAAACUCCGUGAUAGCUGGUUCUCCCCGAAAUGCAUUUAGGUGCAGCGUUGCGUGUGCUUGCCGGAGGUAGGGCUCUGGUUGGCUGAUGGGCCCGACAAGGUUACUGACGUCAGCCAAACUUCGAAUGCCGGUAAGUUGAGCGUGGCAGUGAGACUGCGGGGGAUAAGCUCCGUGGUCGAGAGGGAAACAGCCCAGAUCACCGACUAAGGCCCCUAAGCGUGUGCU